rnacentral:rRNA from 1 species
UGGGGAAUAUUGCACAAUGGGCGCAAGCCUGAUGCAGCCAUGCCGCGUGUAUGAAGAAGGCCUUCGGGUUGUAAAGUACUUUCAGCGAGGAGGAAGGUGUUGUGGUUAAUAACCGCAGCAAUUGACGUUACUCGCAGAAGAAGCACCGGCUAACUCCGUGCCAGCAGCCGCGGUAAUACGGAGGGUGCAAGCGUUAAUCGGAAUUACUGGGCGUAAAGCGCACGCAGGCGGUCUGUCAAGUCGGAUGUGGAAUCCCCGGGCUCAACCUGGGAACUGCAUCCGAAACUGGCAGGCUAGAGUCUUGUAGAGGGGGGUAGAAUUCCAGGUGUAGCGGUGAAAUGCGUAGAGAUCUGGAGGAAUACCGGUGGCGAAGGCGGCCCCCUGGACAAAGACUGACGCUCAGGUGCGAAAGCGU